UACGGGGGGGGCAAGCGUUGUUUGGAGUAUGGCGGUAAGGAGCGCGUAGGCGGCCCUCUAAGUCAGACGUGAAAUCCCACGGCUCAACCGUGGAACUGCGUCUGAUACUGGAGGGCUUGAAUCCGGGAGAGGGAUGUGGAAUUCCAGGUGUAGCGGUGAAAUGCGUAGAUAUCUGGAGGAACACCGGUGGCGAAGGCGGCAUCCUGGACCGACACUGACGCUGAGGAGCGAAAGCCAGGGGAGCAAACGGGG
rnacentral:rRNA from 1 species